ensembl:lncRNA
CUCUGAACUCUGUCUGGCAUUGUCUUCCCAAACUUCUCACAUAUCUUUCCGGUUCUCUCUCUUCCAAUCUGGAGGAUCAUCCAGGCUGCAUUGGACAGUGAUAAUAAGCCAGAGACCGUGGUUGACUUAGGAAACUGAAACCAUGGACGAAGGAUUGCUGAAACCUCAACUGAGACAACUGCUGGGACAGUUUUGGCUAAAAGCACUGACUAAGGGCCUCGCUCAUCUGUGGACCAAAAGCUGGGAAUAUAGGGUUGUACCACCCUGCCCCAUGUACGGUGUUUGGCAUUGAACCCAGGCCUUCCUGCCUGUUUGGAAGACUCUGAUUUCAGUUGGAAACAACAGUGUGCCCACAUGAAAGACUGAAGCUCUCCCCUGAAGAUAACAGUGGUCAAAAGACAGAGCCCGAGUACAGAUCUCAUGAAAGUUCUUUAAAGGGCAGUGACAGUGCAGUCACCUCUUGUCAUCUUGGCCUUUCCUACUGCUUGGAACGAGCAUGUGAAGGUUGGAAGUGAAGCACUGAUCUUGUCACCAUUUCUUUGAAGAUGGAAGCUGUGAGAUAAGACAGUCUAUUUGAUGAUGUAACCCUGAACCUGCU